ACUCCUACGGGAGGCAGCAGUGGGGAAUAUUGCACAAUGGGGGAAACCCUGAUGCAGCAACGCCGCGUGAGUGAUGACGGUCUUCGGAUUGUAAAGCUCUGUCUUCAGGGACGAUAAUGACGGUACCUGAGGAGGAAGCCACGGCUAACUACGUGCCAGCAGCCGCGGUAAU
rnacentral:rRNA from 2 species